rnacentral:rRNA from 1 species
UACGUAGGUGGCAAGCGAUACUCGGAAUCACUAGGCGUAAAGCGCAGGUAGGCGGUUUGGUAAGUCUUUUGUGAAAGCUCCCGGCUCAACUGGGAGAGGCCAAAGGAGACUACUAGACUAGAGUGUGGUAGGGGAUACUGGAAUUCCUGGUGUAGCGGUGAAAUGCGUAGAUAUCAGGAGGAAUACCUAUGGCGAAAGCAGGUAUCUGGGCCAUCACUGACGCUGAGCUGCGAAAGCUAGGGGAGCAAACAGG